rnacentral:sRNA from 2 species
ACGACAGCUACCAGUGGACUCUGAAAUUUAUGUACGGAUGGAUGUACGUGGGAAUCAAUGACAGGUUUGCUAUGAGGUAGAUUUUCUAGACAAUUUGCGCAUCAUGCUAGAACGGUGCUUGUCUGCGCAGCGCACCAACACAUCAUGAGGAAUAUAGCCUCUAUUCCAACGGGAUGUCGGAUUUAUUUGGCUCUUUCGAAAGUGAGCAGAUCUGGACAGACGUUUUGAAGCAGGCAUCCCAGAAUCUGUAACGAGGAUGGCUUUUCUGGUCCAAAUUUCUAGCUUUCUGGGUGAUACCUGUGAAGCCCAUUUGGAUAGUCCAGAAACUUCGAAGUAGAGGAGGCAAUUCGGUACGUGUGAUGUGCUGCACAAUUCAAGGAGAUACCAGCAUCGAUAACAUUAUGACUAUGCUUCUAGAACCUAGUCUGGUAGAAGGACUUCCUACCUAGUAAGUGACCAGCGGAUAUAUAUGUUCCUGGGAGAUCAGCAAAUGCAACAGGGAUCUUAUACUACCUCGGGAAGAACUGUGAGCCAUGUAUCGAUGCCCC